rnacentral:rRNA from 2 species
UGAGGCCCCAGGUCAGGCGGGAUUACCCGCUGAAUUUAA